rnacentral:lncRNA from 10 species
AAAAGGUUGAUGAUAGAGUUGAGGCAAGUAAACUGGUUUGUUCACUUGUAGUGUUUCGUGUUUUCUUUUGAACUAAAAUGUGUUUAAUUUGUUAGCAAAAGUACUGUGUAGUAGAGGUUCAUGAUUUAGUUAAUCCAUUACAAGAUCUAUGUGUAAAAUCAGGAAGCCCUUUUGAGAGCUGUCUUUCAGGGUGUUUGCUGUUGGAGGUGGUAGCACAUGUCAUCCUGUGGCUUUGUCCUUUCUCCAUGUGUCAGGCACUGGGCUGUGAUGGAUGCUUCUCUGAUAAAAGAAGUGUUCUCUAUCUUCAGGUUUCUUAAUUCUUUUUGGGAAGUCAGAAGGGAAAACUGUUCUCAUGUAGAAUGAAGUAUGUGCUCUGUGAGGUGGGUUUGUUGGCAGCACAGAGGAGGGGUACCUAAUUCAUUCUCAUGUCUGGGAGCCUGUGCCUGUGGUCUUUUACAUCUUGGUAAGUAGUACCCAAAUGACCUAUGAUCCAGAAUGGUGGUUGGACACUUUCUCUCUUUAGAGUAGAUUAAAUAAAUAAUGGACUGUUACGGGAGGUUACCCAGUAUACCAGUAUAAAACAUUAAAGCCCCACACACUCAGGUGUGUCUUCUGGUCUCUGUGGACUUCCUUAGAGGCUUGAGGAGGAGCUCAGUUGAAAACAGGUGAUCUGGAAUAGCAGUUUAAUCUGGCACAGGCAUUGGAGUUUAGGAAUUAUUGGAAGAAGUGCCGAAUCCAUUUAGGAAUAAUUGAAGUGCCCAAAUCCGUACAUAAAUAAGCAUUGUUUAUGUGCAAAGUACAUUUAUCUCUCAUGUCAUGUGUUAUUAUAUAAAUAACAACUACAAAUUGUUUAAGCUUGUAUUCAUACCAUUAUGCAUUUUUCAGUUAGUGAAUUGUAAAUGUACAACUACUGUAAUGUGGGUACAGAUGGUGAAAUUUCUUUCUUAUUAAGAAUGGGGUCCUUCAUACUCAUCAUUUUAGACUAAGGAGUUUGAUACUGAUUGCUUUUG